CCCUUAGAUGUUCUGGGCCGCACGCGCGCUACACUGUUCGGCGCAGCGAGUCUUAACCUUGACCGAAAGGUUUGGGUAAUCUUCAGCAAAGUCGAACGUGAUGGGGAUCGAUCAUUGCAAUUAUUGAUCGUGAACGAGGAAUUCCUAGUAAGUGCAAGUCAUCAGCUUGCGCUGAUUACGUCCCUGCCCUUUGUACACACCGCCCGUCGCUACUACCGAUUGAAUGGUUUAGUGAGAUCUCUGGAUUGACGCUGGCUAGGGGGCGACCCUUGGCCAGACUGUUGAGAAACUGCUCAAACUUGAUCAUUUAGAGGAAGUAAAAGUCGUAACA
rnacentral:rRNA from 1 species